CAUGCAAGUCGAACGGAGGGAAUUCGAAGCUUGCUUUGGAUUUCCUUAGUGGCGGACGGGUGAGUAACACGUGAGUAACCUGCCUUUCAGAGGGGAAUAACGUUUGGAAACGAACGCUAAUACCGCAUAACAUUCCGCAGCCGCAUGGAGGUGGAAUCAAAGGAGCAAUCCGCUGAGAGAUGGACUCGCGUCCGAUUAGCCAGUUGGCGGGGUAACGGCCCACCAAAGCGACGAUCGGUAGCCGGACUGAGAGGUUGAACGGCCACAUUGGGACUGAGACACGGCCCAGACUCCUACGGGAGGCAGCAGUGGGGGAUAUUGCACAAUGGGGGAAACCCUGAUGCAGCAACGCCGCGUGAAGGAAGAAGGUCUUCGGAUUGUAAACUUUUGUCCUCAGGGAAGAUAAUGACGGUACCUGAGGAGGAAGCUCCGGCUAACUACGUGCCAGCAGCCGCGGUAAUACGUAGGGAGCGAGCGUUGUCCGGAUUUACUGGGUGUAAAGGGUGCGUAGGCGGAUUUUCAAGUCAGUAGUGAAAUGCAGGGGCUUAACCCCUGAGCUGCUAUUGAAACUGAGAGUCUUGAGUGGAGUAGAGGCAGGCGGAAUUCCCGGUGUAGCGGUGAAAUGCGUAGAGAUCGGGAGGAACACCAGUGGCGAAGGCGGCCUGCUGGGCUUUAACUGACGCUGAGGCACGAAAGCAUGGGUAGCAAACAGGAUUAGAUACCCUGGUAGUCCAUGCCGUAAACGAUGAUUACUAGGUGUGGGUGGUCUGACCCC
rnacentral:rRNA from 1 species